AGUGAACGCUGGCGGUAGGCCUAACACAUGCAAGUCGAACGGCAGCACAGUAAGAGCUUGCUCUUACGGGUGGCGAGUGGCGGACGGGUGAGGAAUACAUCGGAAUCUACUUUUUCGUGGGGGAUAACGUAGGGAAACUUACGCUAAUACCGCAUACGACCUACGGGUGAAAGCAGGGGAUCUUCGGACCUUGCGCGAUUGAAUGAGCCGAUGUCGGAUUAGCUAGUUGGCGGGGUAAAGGCCCACCAAGGCGACGAUCCGUAGCUGGUCUGGGAGGAUGAUCAGCCACACUGGAACUGAGACACGGUCCAGACUCCUACGGGAGGCAGCAGUGGGGAAUAUUGGACAAUGGGCGCAAGCCUGAUCCAGCCAUACCGCGUGGGUGAAGAAGGCCUUCGGGUUGUAAAGCCCUUUUGUUGGGAAAGAAAGGCAGCAGGUUAAUACCCCGCUGUUCUGACGGUACCCAAAGAAUAAGCACCGGCUAACUUCGUG
rnacentral:rRNA from 1 species